AAGGAAUCUCAAUCCUAUAUGUGAAAUUUAUUUUAUUUGUAGAACCCUUACCAACUGUGAUGUAUCUGACGGCAAGUUUCACCAUAUCUGUAUUUCUCUUAACCAAAAAUACCUACUUGAGGUCUACCAAGAUAGCAAGGUGCUACUUACAAAUAGCUUGCCUGGUUUGGCUUGGGAUUUUGGGAACAAAAAGAACCUUAGGAAUCGUCGCGGUUCUUUAAUGCUUGGACGAACUCGAGGAAUGCAAGGACAAACAUUUGAUGGCAGUUUAUUCCAGGUCAAUCUGUGGGAUCAAUAUCCUUCAUUCAGAAUAAAAAGAAUUGCUACUAACUGUGCGUGCGGAGGAGGGUCUUUGGUUCAAUGGUCAGACUUGCUCAAUGGAACAAUGUCGCGUGUAAAUUUUGAUAAUAAUUCUCAAUGUCCUAAACUGGAAGGCUACAACUACGAUGAAAUUACACAAAAUAGAUUGAUUUAAGAUACACGAACACGCGAACUUUAUCUUAGAGAUAAAAUUAAAAUUAAUCUAUUACAAGAAAGAAAAAGGGAAAUCAUUAAACUAAUUAUCUGG